rnacentral:rRNA from 1 species
UACGGAGGAUGCAAGCGUUAUCCGGAAUUAUUGGGCGUAAAGCGUCCGUAGGUGGUUUUACAAGUCAGUUGUUAAAGCGUGAGGCUUAACCUCAUAAAGGCGAUUGAAACUGUAGGACUAGAGUUUGGUAGGGGUCAGGGGAAUUCCCAGUGUAGCGGUGAAAUGCGUAGAUAUUGGGAAGAACACCGGUGGCGAAAGCGCCUGACUGGGCCUGAACUGACACUGAGGGACGAAAGCUAGGGGAGCGAAA